GGGCGAGUAGUUCAGCCUGGUUAGAAUGCUUGGUUGGCAAUCGAGUGGCCGCGGGUUCGAAUCCCGCCUCGUCCA
rnacentral:tRNA from 1 species